rnacentral:rRNA from 1 species
UACGUAGGGGGCUAGCGUUGUCCGGAAUCAUUGGGCGUAAAGCGCGUGUAGGCGGCCCGGUAAGUCCGCUGUGAAAGUCCAGGGCUCAACCCUGGGAUGCCGGUGGAUACUGUCGGGCUCGAGUCCGGAAGAGGCGAGUGGAAUUCCUGGUGUAGCGGUGAAAUGCGCAGAUAUCAGGAGGAACACCUAUGGCGAAGGCAGCUCGCUGGGACGGUACUGACGCUGAGACGCGAAAGCGUGGGGAGCGAACAGG